rnacentral:misc_RNA from 1 species
AUUAUGAGAUGUAAUUCUGCUGUUCUUUGAUAUCAAUUGGUUUAUUGUUAUUUUAGGGACAUUCACAAAUUAGAAAUAUGAAAAUACUUGGCUCUCCUCACGCCUAUUUGUUGCUUAGUGUUGGAGAGUGCAGACAAUGUAGAUUCCGUUCUCAGAAUAUUUCAUUAUAUUCGCCAAUUGUCUUAGGGAUGCUUUUGGACCAGUCAGCCAUUGAUGGGUGUGAGCUGGCCUAUGCAACUGUGUAUACAUGGAAUUAUUGUUGUUAUAAAAGCUUAAAGGAUUUGCUACGGUGA